UGUAUAUCUUAAAUUAAUACAACUUCAACAACGGAUCUCUUGGCUCUCGCAUCGAUGAAGAACGCAGCGAAAUGCGAUAAGUAAUGUGAAUUGCAGAAUUCAGUGAAUCAUCGAAUCUUUGAACGCACCUUGCGCUCCUUGGUAUUCCGAG
rnacentral:rRNA from 1 species